GGGCGUCUCUAUCUCAUUGCGAGAGGAGGCGCACCUAGAGCGUACACGCUGAUACCCGAAAGAGGGUGAACUAUGCCCGGCCAGGACGAAGCCAGGGGAAACCCUGGUGGAGGUCCGCAGCGAUUCUGACGUGCAAAUCGAUCGUCGGAGCUGGGUUUAGGGGCGAAAGACCAAUCGAACCAUCUAGUAGCUGGUUCCCUCUGAAGUUUCCCUCAGGAUAGCUUGCGCUCGAUUUGAAACGAGUCUCAUCCGGUAGAGCGAAUGAUUAGAGGCCUUGGGGUCGAAACGACCUCAACCUAUUCUCAAACUCCAAAUAGAUGAGAACCCCGGCUUUCUUGAACUUUGUUUAUGAAGCCGGGGGCUUGGAUCAGAGUGCCAAGUGGGCCAAUUUU
rnacentral:rRNA from 1 species